GACGUAGGGUGCGAGCGUUGUCCGGAUUUAUUGGGCGUAAAGAGCUCGUAGGCGGCUCGUCGCGUCGACCGUGAAAACCCACAGCUUAACUGUGGGCUUGCGGUUGAUACGGGUAGACUAGAGGCAGGUAGGGGAGAAUGGAAUUCCCGGUGUAGGGGUGAAAUGCGCAGAUAUCGGGAGGAACACCGGUGGCGAAGGCGGUUCUCUGGGCCUGACCUGACGCUGAGGAGCGAAAGCGUGGGGAGCGAACAGG
rnacentral:rRNA from 1 species